rnacentral:misc_RNA from 1 species
AGAGAGAGAGAGAGAGAGAUGAAGGGUGCAUCCAAGGUGAUAAUGGGAGCUACUUUGGUGAUGGUUGUAAGCCUUGCCAUAGUGCUGACUCUUGUUCUGGUGCUGCUAGCUGAGCUCUAUUGUACUCUCUUACUUCGGCGGCGCAGACUAGGCAUCACCUCCUCCAAUGCUACCACCACUGUCGCCAGUACUACCACCAUCACCACUUCACCAACUGCCAAUACUUCCUCUCCACAGCCCCCAAACCGAACAGAUUCUCCUAACACUACAUACUAUGCCCCAGGGGUUCUUCAGGCUCCAAGAAGCCUCUUCUUUCCUGCUGUUUCUUGCAAAGAAAACAAGGCAACUGAAAUAAAGAACCAACUCUCCCAAUUUCAUCACAUUCUCGAAGUCAAUGCCCAAGAAUCUAACACAAGCCCCCAACAAAUUGGUCUUAUAAACACUUCACCUUCAUCAACUAACGUAGUAACUUCACCCCAUCAAAUUCCAGAAAUCCCAAUUCAAAUUAGCAGCAGCAAUGCUAAUGAAAAAGCUUGUGGUGGUAAUGGAGAGCCUUUUGUUUAUAUAUCCAAUCCCAUAUACGACAACGAUGCAAGUAGGGCAAGCAGGGUAGAGACUCCAUUUGAGACUCCUGAUUCAUCACCAUCUCGAUUGGAAACAGGUGGUUCUUCUUCAGGUGAUGAGGAGAUAGCACGGAGAUCCCCAUCUAGUCCACACUCGUUACCAGGUACCCCUCCAUUGACUCCAAUGAAGAAGCUCCCAGCAGAGGCAUGUUCAGUUUCCUUGAGAGAUGCAAGGUCUUUAGGCACUUCAGGGAGUGAUUCUGUGAGUAACAACGGCCUCUCAUCAUCAUCCUCGGUGUCUCCAUGCACAUCUCCUUCGUGGUAAUUGCUUAUGUGUAAUGCAACAAAUAGAGUGCGAAGCAAAUUUGUCGUUUUUAGUGGGGUCUUUUCAUUCAUGAACCCUAUCAAGGCGGGUGGCUUGUGAGUAUAGAGAAAGAUAAGAGUGGAGUUACAAUCCCAGGGCCACGCCCAUGCCAAGUAACCUUAGUUCUCUGUUUCUAAUGUAUUUGCUUUGCAGAGCUGCUCUUUUGUUUUCAUUUACUUGUAUGGUUGUUUUUGGAAGGUAGUUUGCACUUAUUUUCUCUGGCGUUGUUAGGUAGCAAACAAGCUUUUGUUUUUUGUUUUGUAUUGUUUAGGGAUUGUGGGGAUGC